rnacentral:rRNA from 1 species
UACGGGGGGGGCAAGCGUUGUUCGGAAUUACUGGGCGUAAAGGGCGUGUAGGCGGCCAACUAAGUCCGACGUGAAAUCCCCAGGCUUAACCUGGGAACUGCGUCGGAUACUGGAUGGCUUGAAUCCGGGAGAGGGAUGCAGAAUUCCAGGUGUAGCGGUGAAAUGCGUAGAUAUCUGGAGGAAUACCGGUGGCGAAGGCGACUACCUGGCCUGUUCUUGACGCUGAGGCGCGAAAGCUAGGGGAGCAAACGGG